AAAGAGGGCUCCUGCCGUGACCAGCACACGUAGGGCAGCGCCCUUGCUCUACAUACAGAAUCAACAUCAAGAGAUUUUGGAAACAUAAUUUUUCAGCAGCAGGGCAGCUGGUGAUUGUUGGUCCUGGUUCACCU
ensembl:snRNA